UGGGGAAUAUUGCACAAUGGGCGCAAGCCUGAUGCAGCCAUGCCGCGUGUGUGAAGAAGGCCUUCGGGUUGUAAAGCACUUUCAGCGGGGAGGAAGGCGGUGAGGUUAAUAACCUCAUCGAUUGACGUUACCCGCAGAAGAAGCACCGGCUAACUCCGUGCCAGCAGCCGCGGUAAUACGGAGGGUGCAAGCGUUAAUCGGAAUUACUGGGCGUAAAGCGCACGCAGGCGGUCUGUCAAGUCGGAUGUGAAAUCCCCGGGCUCAACCUGGGAACUGCAUUCGAAACUGGCAGGCUAGAGUCUUGUAGAGGGGGGUAGAAUUCCAGGUGUAGCGAUGAAAUGCGUAGAGAGCUGGAGGAAUACCGGUGGCGAAGGCGGCCCCCUGGACAAAGACUGACGCUCAGGUGCGAAAGCGUGGGGAGCAAACAGG
rnacentral:rRNA from 1 species